rnacentral:rRNA from 1 species
AGUGAACGCUGGCGGUAGGCCUAACACAUGCAAGUCGAACGGCAGCACAGUAAGAGCUUGCUCUUACGGGUGGCGAGUGGCGGACGGGUGAGGAAUACAUCGGAAUCUACUUUUUCGUGGGGGAUAACGUAGGGAAACUUACGCUAAUACCGCAUACGACCUACGGGUGAAAGCAGGGGAUCUUCGGACCUUGCGCGAUUGAAUGAGCCGAUGUCGGAUUAGCUAGUUGGCGGGGUAAAGGCCCACCAAGGCGACGAUCCGUAGCUGGUCUGAGAGGAUGAUCAGCCACACUGGAACUGAGACACGGUCCAGACUCCUACGGGAGGCAGCAGUGGGGAAUAUUGGACAAUGGGCGCAAGCCUGAUCCAGCCAUACCGCGUGGGUGAAGAAGGCCUUCGGGUUGUAAAGCACUUUUGUUGGGAAAGAAAAGCAGCAGGUUAAUACCCAGCUGUUCUGACGGUACCCAAAGAAUAAGCACCGGCUAACUUCGUG